rnacentral:piRNA from 1 species
UCUUGAGGAUGACAAGAUUCCAGAGUCAA